rnacentral:misc_RNA from 1 species
AUGAUAAUCUACUAUUGGUCUUUUCUAUAACAAAGCUGUAAAUAAACUCAGGUUCAAAAUGUCAUACAAUGAGCUCCAUAAAACAAGACGAAUCAAAACUUUUGACCAAGUACUGUUGCUAGAUUAUCUAGAUAAAAAAAUAAGACUAAUACAUGAUAGAACAUCUGCAAAGAGCUUACUGCUUUCGUUCCUCGAACACUGCUGCACUUCUUAAUGGUUUCGGAGUUUGGGCAUGAUGAGAUAGAUUACUCAGUCCAGCUUCACAGAAGAGAA